GAGCAAGUAACGUCUAAAUUAACUUUUUUUUGCUGAUGAACUGUAUAAAUGAGUGUCUAAUAGUGUUUUAAAUGUGUGUAUUCAUUAUUUUAGCAUUUUGGUGCAUUUUCUUAAAAAAUUAAAAAUUCUGCCUAAAUACCACAGUAUAGCUCCACCUUCAGCUUAAAACAUAGAAUUUGACUCAUUUUGAAUAAAUUUUAGCCAAUGGCUAAAGAGUAAGAUACUACGUAAUCCAGUAGAGUACUACGUAGCAGCUCUGUGUCAACGUUAUAAAAGCAUCGGGAGUCUCGGCCACGCCUUGUGGCGAGUUGGGAGUUGGAUUUGCAUGAGAGUGUAGGAGGCUAGCCGUAGUUCAGCAUUAGCAUAUAGCAUUAGCAUAUCCUAGUCUUUAGCAUAGCUUUUAGUGUUAUACAUACUUAUUUAGUGUUAGCUUGACUGUUGGAUAUUGUAGUUUAGUUACUGUUUGGCUGUUAGUGUAAUUAGGAAAGUAGUUCGGGUUUAGUGCUCCAUAUCGUGUUAGCAUGGUGAGAUGGUGUAGUGUAGUAUGGUUGCGGAGCUCUGUCGGGUUGCACUCCUUUCCGCUGGACUUAGAAAUUAGGCACCAGUGGUUGCGUGUCUGGAAAAGAUUCAGCUCCCGCCUGGUGCUGUAGUUUGCAACCAGCAUUUUACCCGCGAUUCUGCACGUCUCCGUUCCAAGAGGGAGGUUGUGCCCACCGUGGCUCUUCCGCGAUUUAGAUACAGACCACCGACUCUGCUCCCCCACCAUGACGGGCUACAGUCUGAGGCUAAAUCUACCCAAGACACUGGCUGUCAGACUGAUUUAGUAAUCUGCAAGAAUGCACUUGUCCAGGCUGACGUGAAGCCUUGCCCGUAGCAAAGAGCUCACAGCCUCAGUGUCUUGUGACACAGGGACCAUGACAGAAAUUCAUCUUCCAGAAGGUCCCAGAGCAUCCACACCCCCUGAAAAGACCAAGGUGUGAGGUGUCUGCUGUUGAUUCCAGCUUCCACCUCAGUGACAGUGCAAGCUCAGUGAACUGUUCAAGGUAAAAAAAAAUUAAAACAUUUCUGAAUUUUUAAGAUAUUAACAAUUAAAUAAGUAUGUGAUUACAUCAUGACGGAGGCUACUGAUUCUGGCCCUGUGACACUUGGUGGUCACCACCAGGUGGUGACGUGUGAGCUGAUUCACCUGGACACUCAGCAAAAUAUGGACUCUACACCAUGAGGCAGGCACACGUUAAUAACUCUAUAAGAGUACAUAAGGUAAGCAACACCACAUAUUAUUUUUAUUACUGUACACUGUCCUGGAUUUGUUUUCUUUCUGCAUGAUUUGUUUUCUUUCUGCAUCUCAUCAUUAGCCUGGCUGAUCACCUGAUAACUCAUGUUAUCUGGUUAUGACAGCAUGAGGAUGUCCUCACACACCUGUAACCUACCAGCUCAUCUGGCAGAAUAGAGAGAGAAGAGACAACACCACAUCUCCUGUUCCUGGAAAGCCUUCAGCCAUCCUUCGAUGACUGAGAACCUCCAUCAGCUCUGUCUCCUGUCUGCCUACAAUUAUUAUAAUAAAUAUUGUGUUUGACAAGUU